rnacentral:rRNA from 1 species
UACGUAGGGUGCAAGCGUUGUCCGGAAUUAUUGGGCGUAAAGAGCUCGUAGGCGGUCUGUCGCGUCGGCUGUGAAAACUUGAGGCUCAACCCCAAGCCUGCAGUCGAUACGGGCAGACUAGAGUCCGGCAGGGGAGACUGGAAUUCCUGGUGUAGCGGUGAAAUGCGCAGAUAUCAGGAGGAACACCGGUGGCGAAGGCGGGUCUCUGGGCCGGAACUGACGCUGAGGAGCGAAAGCGUGGGGAGCGAACAGG